rnacentral:rRNA from 1 species
AAUUCCAAACGAACUUGGAGAUAGCUGGUUCUCUCCGAAAUAGCUUUAGGGCUAGCCUCGCAAAGAGGAUGCUGGAGGUAGAGCUCUGUUUGGACUAGGGGCCCGUCAAGGGUUACUGAAUUCAGAUAAACUGCGAAUUCCAGACAUUUAUGUGCGGGAGUCAGACUGCGAGUGAUAAGAUCCGUAGUCGAAAGGGAAACAGCCCAGAUCACCAGUUAAGGUCCCAAAAUUCAUGCUAAGUGGAAAAGGAUGUGGAGUUGCGCAGACAACUAGGACGUUGGCUCAGAAGCAGCCAUCAUUCAAAGAGUGCGUAAUAGCUCACUAGUCGAGUGACGCCGCGCCGAAAAUUUACCGGGGCUAAGCAUGAUACCGAAACUGUGGAUGUGCAUUUAUGCACGUGGUAGGAGAGCGUUCUAGCGGCGGUGAAGCAUGACCGAGAGGACAUGUGGAGCUUCUAGAAGUGAGAAUGCCGGUAUGAGUAACGAAAGACAGGUGAGAAUCCUGUCCGCCGCAAGACUAAGGUUUCCUGGGGCAGGCUCGUCCGCCCAGGGUAAGUCGGGACCUAAGGCGAGGCCGAGAGGCGUAGUCGAUGGACAACAGGUUGAAAUUCCUGUACUGCACCGAAUCGUUAUGAGCGAUGGAGGGACGCAGGAGGCUAGCAGCGCGUGGUGCUGGAUACCACGUUCAAGCGUCAAGUCUGAGAGCGAGUCAAAUGCUUGCUCUCAUAAGGACAAGGCGUGAUGAGGAGCGAAAUUAAAGUAGCGAAGGCUGCGACGUCACACUGCCGAGAAAAGCUUCUAGCCAGAGACGGUGCACCCGUACCGCAAACCGACACAGGUAGUCGAGGAGAGUAUCCUCAGGUGAGCGAGAGAACUCUCGUUAAGGAACUCGGCAAAAUGGCCCCGUAACUUCGGGAGAAGGGGCGCUGGUCGCAAGAUCAGCCGCAGUGAAAAGGCCCAAGCAACUGUUUAUCAAAAACACAGGCAUCUGCAAAAUCGUAAGAUGAAGUAUAGGUGCUGACACCUGCCCGGUGCUGGAAGGUUAAGAGGAGAGCUUAGCGCAAGCGAAGGUUUGAAUUGAAGCCCCAGUAAACGGCGGCCGUAACUAUAACGGUCCUAAGGUAGCGAAAUUCCUUGUCGGGUAAGUUCCGACCUGCACGAAAGGUGUAAUGAUUUGGGCACUGUCUCAACGAGAGACUCGGUGAAAUUAUAAUACCCGUGAAGAUGCGGGUUACCCGCGACAGGACGGAAAGACCCCAUGGAGCUUUACUGCAGUUUAAUAUUGGGUAUCUGUCAAGCAUGUACAGGAUAGGUAGGAGCCGGAGAAGAUAGGACGCCAGUCUUAUC